rnacentral:lncRNA from 1 species
CCGAGGAUGUCCUUGAUGGUCUUGCAGAGUCCCUCGAAGGCGGCCUUCUUCUCUUCCUUGCGCUUCUUUUCUUCUUCAGUUUCUUCGUCGAGCUUGAGCCCCUCCUUGGUGGCGGAGACGAGCUUCUUGCCGUCGUACUCCUUGAGCUGCCCGACGGCGUACUCGUCGAUGGCGUCCACCAUGAAGAGCACCUCGUAGCCGCGCUUCUUGAGGCGCUCGAGGAAGGGCGAGUUCUCGACGGCCUUGCGGCUCUCGCCGGUGAUGUAGUAGAUGUCCUUCUGGCCCUCCUUCAUCCGGGUGACGUAGUCCUUGAGGCUGGUGAGGUCGUCGCCGCUCUUGGUGGAGUGGUAGCGGAGGAGGUCGGCGAGCUUGGCGCGGUUCUGCGAGUCCUCGUGCACGCCCAGCUUGAGGUUCUUGGAGAAGGCCUCGUAGAACUUGGCGUAGUCCUCUUUAUUCUCGGCGAUCUCGAAGAAGAGCUCGAUGCACUUCUUGACGAGGUUCUUGCGGAUGACCUUGAGGAUCUUGUUCUGCUGCAGCGUCUCCCGGGAGAUGUUGAGGGGGAGGUCGUCCGAGUCGACGACGCCCUUGACGAAGCCCAGCCACUCCGGGAUGAGCUCCUCGCAGUUGUCCAUGAUGAAGACGCGGCGCACGUAGAGCUUGAUGUUGUUCAUCUUCUUGCGGGUGUCGAAGAG